UCUGCUUCUGAAACCACCUCC
rnacentral:miRNA from 1 species